GGUGGCCCAGACAGGGGUCCACAGUGAGGAAGCAGGACAAGAUGGACCACAAAGGCCUGCAGCUGGGAGAGUGGCUCCUGGCUGUCAGCUGUUGGGACAGGCUAGAACCAUGUGCCUCUCGGAAGAGGCCUGGGGAACUGCUGGCAGUGUAACUUCAGGUGUAGGGGAGCCGGGUCUGGCUUAGGAAUGGAUGCCCUGGG
rnacentral:lncRNA from 1 species